AGAGUUUGAUCCUGGCUCAGGAUGAACGCUAGCUACAGGCUUAACACAUGCAAGUCGAGGGGCAGCAGGACGGUAGCUUGCUACUGUCGCUGGCGACCGGCGCACGGGUGAGUAACGCGUAUCCAACCUUCCCUAUAGUAGAGGAUAGCCCGGCGAAAGUCGGAUUAAUGCCCUAUGCUGUCCGACGAUAGCAUUUGAAUCGGACGAAAGAUUUAUCGCUCAGGGAUGGGGAUGCGUCUGAUUAGAUUGUUGGCGGGGCAACGGCCCACCAAGUCCACGAUCAGUAGGGGUUCUGAGAGGAAAGUCCCCCACAUUGGAACUGAGACACGGUCCAAACUCCUACGGGAGGCAGCAGUGAGGAAUAUUGGUCAAUGGCCGCGAGGCUGAACCAGCCAAGUAGCGUGCAGGACGACGGCCCUAUGGGUUGUAAACUGCUUUUGCGCGGGGAUAAAGUGCGUCACGUGUGGCGCAUUGCAGGUACCGCGCGAAUAAGGACCGGCUAAUUCCGUGCCAGCAGCCGCGGUAAUACGGAAGGUCCGGGCGUUAUCCGGAUUUAUUGGGUUUAAAGGGGGCGCAGGCCGUCGGUCAAGCGUGUUGUGAAAUGCAGGCGCCCAACGCCUGACUUGCAGCGCGAACUGGCCGGCUAGAGUACGCACAACGUUGGCGGAAUUCGCCGUGUAGCGGUGAAAUGCUUAGAUAUGGCGAAGAACUCCGAUUGCGAAGGCAGCUGACGGGGGCGCAACUGACGCUCAUGCUCGAAAGUGCGGGUAUCGAACAGGAUUAGAUACCCUGGUAGUCCGCACGGUAAACGAUGAAAGGCCGCUAUGCGUUCACAGGAAUGCGUGGCCAAGCGAAAGCGUUAAGCAUCCCAGCCUGGGAGACGCCGACA
rnacentral:rRNA from 1 species